UCNAUUAGAGUUUNNUCCUGGCUCAGGACGAACGCUGGCGGCGUGCCUAACAUGCAAGUCGAGCGAGAGACUUCGNUCUCUAGCGGCGGACGGGUGAGUAACACGUGGGUAACCUGCCUCAUAGNGGGGGAUAGCCUCCCGAAAGGGAGAUUAAUACCGCAUAACAUCAUGCUGACGCAUGUCAGAAUGAUUAAAGGAGUAAUCCGCUAUGAGAU
rnacentral:rRNA from 1 species